rnacentral:rRNA from 1 species
UAGCUAUUUAGGUUAGAGUUUGAUCAUGGCUCAGGACGAACGCUGGCGGCGUGCUUAACACAUGCAAGUCGAACGAGGCCCUCCUUCGGGAGGUGUCCUAGUGGCGAACGGGUGAGUAACACGUGGGCAACCUGCCCCCGGCUCUGGGAUAACUCCAAGAAAUUGGGGCUAAUACCGGAUAGGACUACAAGGCGCAUGUUUUGUGGUGGAAAGCUUUUUGCGGUGUGGGAUGGGCCCGCGGCCUAUCAGCUUGUUGGUGGGGUAAUGGCCUACCAAGGCUUCGACGGGUAGCCGGCCUGAGAGGGUGACCGGCCACACUGGGACUGAGACACGGCCCAGACUCCUACGGGAGGCAGCAGUGGGGAAUAUUGGACAAUGGGCGGAAGCCUGAUCCAGCAACGCCGCGUGAGGGAUGACGGCCUUCGGGUUGUAAACCUCUUUCAGCACAGACGAAGCGCAAGUGACGGUAUGUGCAGAAGAAGGACCGGCCAACUACGUGCCAGCAGCCGCGGUAAUGUCGGGCC